GAUUCGAACCUGCAGCAGGUUCGGUGUUGAGCGCAGCGAAACAACGGAGUCGCUUGCGGCGACGGCCCGAAGGGCGAGCGAAGCGAGUCAUCCUGCACGACCCACCA
rnacentral:sRNA from 1 species